UGCUAAGAGCUUUAAAUAUGCACCACCACAGUUCAGACCCUCUUCGGGGUUAACCUCAUAUUGAACUACCAAAUCCUUUUCUGGUUCAUUUAUGGGUUCAUCAAAUUCAUAAGAAAUAGCAUGAUGAGCGGCUUCGUCUUUCAUAACGAGACCGGCUUCACCCUUAAGGGCACCGGGACCAGAACUUUCCUCAACAGUCCAUUCACCUACAUAGCUCAUUUCUUCAAUACCAUUUACAAAUCGUUUAGCAUGUGAAGGAAUCCAACGUUCAGACCAUGCACCUUGAAACUGCUCAACAAGAGGCGCUUUCACUUCAGUUGGGUUAAAAACCAAAGGUUCUUGUUCGGAUUCAGGAUCAGCAAGUGAUCCCCGAACAUAUAAAGAGCACAAAAGCGCUAGAAAAGAUACCUUUCCGUACUUCAUUUCCACGUGUUGGGUGGUGUAGUUGAUAACUACGGUGCGCGGUUUUGCGUGUGUUUUGGUAGUACUACGGCUUUGAUCGAUGAGAUGGAUCAGCAAACAUAAUCGAAAGAAUAAUGGAGAAGGUUCCGGAACGAAAAACAAAUCGCAUUAAACUUAGAUGAUUAGAUUUGAAAGACCUAUCUGGUAAGUUGUAUUUGCAUUAGAUCUUUAUAUUUAUUUUACUUCUUACUUUGUGAAUUACGGAGCGCAAUGUCUUGCUAUAAUGAAGGUUGCAGUAACAUGUUUACAGUAAACGUUUGCAUUUUAAUAUACUAAGUAUUUGGCUUUAAUUGUUCUCCCCAUUAAGUAAAAAAAAAGAGUAAUGCAAACAAUGAGAUAAAAUAAAAGUUUACAAACUAUCACUAGUCAUAAAGCCUUGAAAGCGCUAUACUCGUAGUCUUUGAAUCUUCAAUCAUUAGAAUAUGCUUUAGUCUGACGCAUAACAACUGUCAGGUAUCAAACAAGUUUUUUUAUUCUCGUACACCAUUAGCUCAAAAUUGGGACAAUCACAAUAUUUA